rnacentral:misc_RNA from 1 species
GAGCAGAGGGAUAGAACGGCGACUCCUGACUCGGAUUCGGUUACACGUCGCGCGGUGGAUUAGAGGCACAUACGCACACGCACACGUUGCAGCAUGCUUUUGUGUCUUCCGUAUAGACUACUGUGAGUGUGAAGGUGGCGGUGGUUAAAGAGAAGCGCGGGGAGAAGUUGAGGAUGCGCGCACACGCGCACUUCACCUUUCUUUUGCCUGCCCGCUUACACACACGUGCACAAGCAAGCAAGUGGGGUAGUCGCUGCGUCCACUGCGUGUUUUCGGUGCCCGCUGUGCUGUCCAACUCCCACCCCUCCCCCAGCAACUGACGUACCCCCACACAGCGUCGCCCCCCCCCCCAAUUUCGAGGAUGAGCUCUAACUCGGCUGCCGCGUCACCGGUAGACGGCAGCGUUGGCGCUCCGGAGUCGUGGCUCCCACUGAACAGUGUGCGUGCACCGCCGCGCGCGCUCGACUCGACCGCCGUCUACGAAGCCCGCCAGCGGUUCGGCAUGAACGAGGUGCGACUGACGGUGGCACCGCUCCAUCGCAUUGUUGUAGGCGCGUUGCUUUCUCCCAGCACGGCCCUCGUCGCUGCUGGGGCGUUCGUCUACGAGGUCGUCGGCGGCAGCCACUGCCUGUGGUUUACCCUGGCGUGGCUCGUGGUGAUGCGAGUCGCGGUGCUGGUGACGACGGCGCUGGUGGACCGCGCACGGGUGCGGCGCCUCCAGCGGUGCCUCUUACCGGGUCGCGCGGUUGCCUACCGAGAGGAGACAUGGGCAAUGGUGGGGUCAGCGCAGCUGGUCCCUGGUGACCUUGUCCAGCUUGUUGCAGGGUCCGUGGUGUUCGCUGACUGCUCUCUCUACAGCGGGUCCGUGCUGAUCGAUAUGUCAGACGUAACGGGGCGCACCCGCACUGAGGCUGUCACCGCGGGCCAGCUCCUGAUCGCCGGCACCAAGGUGGUGGACGGGGCUGCAGAUGCUGUGGUGCGCUACACAGGGCCAGAAACGUUCGUGGGUCAGACCAUCGAGCUCGUAGAGCGCCUGCCGCACGGCUUUGAGGAGCGGCAGCGGCUCAGCCGAGCCUACGCCGGCACAUACUUCCUUGUAGCUGCCGUAGCGGUGACGGCAGAGGUGGUGCUGUUCGGGGUUCUCAGUGGGUGGGACGGCUACUCAGUGUGGAAGGUGGCACGGGAGACGACGCUGCUUGCGCUGCUGUGCACUCCGCUUGACUUUGAUCUCGCCGUGUAUGUGGCAGUGUCGCGAGGUGCGUCGGCGGCCAUGCAGCGUUCUCAGGCCGUCCUCUUGCGCCUCCGCGCCCUCCUCUCACUUGCAUCGGUUGACAUGCUGCUGGUGGACAAGACAGGCACCCUGUCCUCUGGUCACUGCACCCUCGCGGCACAUCAUCGCGCCUACUUAGCAGGGUACCCGUCGCGUGCAGCCGUGGUACAGCUGAUGGCGCUGGCGUGCCGGUGGCGGCAGCCAAGUCUGCACGCGACGAAGCGGGCUGUGCUGCGCAGCGCGGACCUGGACGCCUGUGACGAGUACACGCAGCUGGACUACGUAGAGCACGAGGGAGAGCAUCGCAGCUCCGCCCUGCUGCGCCGGCGUGACGGGACGCUUCUUCGAGUCACCGAAGGGCGGCUUCGCUCCGUCUUGGCGCUCGUCCAGCAUCCAGAGUCUGCCGCCGCAUGCGUUGAGGCGCAGCGUCUGGUGUUUGCCUGGAGCCAAAGCGGUCUGCGAUGUGUGGCGGUGGCCGUUGCCGAGGGCGAUGACCCUUGGCGGUUAGCAGGACUUCUGACGUUCGCUGACCCACUGCGCAGCGACGCGGCCCCGUUGGUCUCGGAUUGUAGUCGACUUGGUGUUGCCGUGACGCUGAUCUCCGGCGAUGAGCACCGGGCUGUCGCCGCCGCGGCCGAGGCGGUGCAGCUAAAAUCCGAGGUGAUGUGCGGGCGCGACGUGCCACCUCUGAGGUUGUGGGAAGCAGAGCACCGCUCUCCAGCGUCUGCGAUUAGUGUGACAGUCGACCUGAGCGCCGCUGCGAACUCUGCGAGCGAGUACGCCGCCUGCCGCGCGUAUGCAGAGAUGCAGCCUCGCCAGAAGGCAGCGCUCGUGCGUGCGCUUCAGCAGUCAGGCCGCGUCGUAGCUGUGCUGGGCGACGGGGUGAACGACGCCGCAGCGGCGCGCCUUUCGGAUGUCGGCAUUGCGCUUCUUUCGGCCGAGCAGGGCCAAGCCGCGGCACGGGGAGCGCUGUGGGGUGCGGACAUCGCCCUCACCUCCGAUCACCUCGGCGCCGUGGUGGAACUGCUUGUCGUCAGCCGCGAACUCUUCGGCACCAUCUACUCCGUUUUCUUUUGGGUAACAGCGGCGGCACUGCAGCUGUCGGUGCUCGGUGCCGCCUUGGCGGUGGCGGUUCCGCGGCGCUGCGCCGGCGAAUCCUCGAACGAGGUCGGACUAGGGCUUCCACCGAGUGGCCUUCACGUAUUGACACUGGUCUACAUCAACGGACUGACGCUGAUGUGGGUGUCUACAGAGGCUGGCGACGACACUUACUGGACCGCGGCACCCUGCUCUCUCAGCUACCGCGUGGCGCUGCUGCAGGCGUCCACGAUGGCUUUUAUCGGUCUCGUCGGCGGCGUCGCCCUCGGCAUUGCUGGCGGCCUUGCCUGUGACGGACGUGGCUGGUGGCCACUUGUCUCACCCAGCAUGCUGCCGGUCAUCACUGAGGAGCGCCUGGGCGGCAUUCUCACGUUCUACAUCCUCUACCUGAACCUAUUCCUGACGAUGAGCUGCGCCUCGCCGGUGCGGGCGGGGUGGCGCUUCUGGCGACGCUCGCGCCUGCGCGUUGUACUCGCCCUCGCCGUCGUGUACGGGCUGUACAUGAUCUGGGCCAUCGACGCACGCCCCAUCUUUGCCGCUUGCCUGUGCGUCUACUGUGGUGCCGUCGCAGUUCUGCAGGACAUGGGGAAGCUCACGGUGCAUGGCAUCUGCUACUGCCUCGGCUUUCGCACGUACCGCGCAUGUGUGGACGGCAUGCACGGCCGCGUCGAUGCGGACGAGGACGCUGCGGCGGCGCGGCCACGCAGGACAACAAGCACGCCAUCUCAUGACGCCGCUGCUCGCCGCAGUUCCGUGCCAUCCUCUCUGAAUGCAGUGGUGGGCUGCAUUGCCAGCCUCGAUGUGAAGCUGCUCUGCCGUGCCCGACCGACGCCAAUGGCCCCAGCAGAGUAAGGUGGGCAAGGCACCACCGCGCGAACGGUGGCGGUGCAGCGGACCCAUCCGCACAUCGAGAAAGUCUGCUGUAAAGCGUCCUUGCUUGAAGCAACGGCCCCUCCAUCCGUCGUCUUGAUGGCCGUUACGGUAGUCGCCUGAUGACGCCGGUGUGGG